ensembl:snRNA U1 U1 spliceosomal RNA
AUACUUACCUGGCAGGGGCCAUUCCAUGAUUACGAAGGUGGUUUCCCCAGGGCAAGGCUUAUCCAUUGCACUCCAGAUGGGCUGACCCCUGUGAUUUCCCCAAAUGCAGAAAACUCAACUGCAUAAUUUGUGGUAGUGGGGUUUGCAAUCUCCCCUG